rnacentral:rRNA from 1 species
AGAUAAUACUUGAGACGUUCCAGUUUNUAUUAGUACAAAAUGNCCAAUUCAUUCAAUGAAUUGAGAAAUGACAUUCUAAGUGAGUUAGGAGCCACGACAAUUGUAGAACACACAGUGUUUAACAAGUAACCAAUGAGAAUUNNUGAUCUAUCAAUCAGUUGGUAGUAUCGAGGACUACCAAGAUUAUAACGGAAUAACGAGGAAUU